GACGAACGCUGGCGGCGUGCCUAAUACAUGCAAGUUGAGCGCUGAAGGUUGGUACUUGUACCGACUGGAUGAGCAGCGAACGGGUGAGUAACGCGUGGGGAAUCUGCCUUUGAGCGGGGGACAACAUUUGGAAACGAAUGCUAAUACCGCAUAAAAACUUUAAACACAAGUUUUAAGUUUGAAAGAUGCAAUUGCAUCACUCAAAGAUGAUCCCGCGUUGUAUUAGCUAGUUGGUGAGGUAAAGGCUCACCAAGGCGAUGAUACAUAGCCGACCUGAGAGGGUGAUCGGCCACAUUGGGACUGAGACACGGCCCAAACUCCUACGGGAGGCAGCAGUAGGGAAUCUUCGGCAAUGGACGAAAGUCUGACCGAGCAACGCCGCGUGAGUGAAGAAGGGUUUCGGAUCGUAAAACUCUGUUGGUAGAGAAGAACGUUGGUGAGAGUGGAAAGCUCAUCAAGUGACGGUAACUACCCAGAAAGGGACGGCUAACUACGCG
rnacentral:rRNA from 1 species